rnacentral:lncRNA from 1 species
GUCUCUCACCAAAGAAAGAAAAAUCCAUACGGAAAGAGUUGUUAAGGAGUCCUGAGCAAGUGCAGCUGUUAAGGGAGCAGUCACUGAGACACAACCAGGAAGGAGGAGAGGCAUUUUUCUGUGAUGUGAAGGAAGUUCGUGCAGCCAAAGGUGAGGAGACAGGGUCACUCUGGUCUAUUCCCUAGACCACCCUAUUGCUCCAGCAAUGUAUUGAUUUGUGGAUCUCUGCAAAGCAGACAGACCAGGUCAGAGAUGUCCCUACGAUUCUUUUUGCUCCCUUGAAGGACUGCUGUGAAGUUACAGUCGCAAUAUAAAGAUGACAAGAAGUUCAAGACAAGAUAAAGGACCCCAGUGAGAUUGGACACUGAGAGAAAAUGAAAUGAGAGGCUGACGAUGAAAAGAGUCCAUUUUUCCAGUUGUGUGCAGAGUACAGCAGAGAAACAAAGGCUUACAGUGACCUGGGCCAUCUGAGUCACAAAUAUCUGUCACUGCUGUCACAGAGAUCCAAAGUGCUGCUCCUCUAUGGAAGGAUACUCUCAAGGCAAUCACUGAUGCUGUCUGUUCUGUCUGUUCCAGGCUUUUUUCCACUCCUUAUACAUUUUAAUAACCAAACCAUUAACAUACAGAAACAUUUUAUCAUAAGCCAGGUGAGAGGUAGCUAGAAUAUUUUUUUAAAAAUUUUCAUUUAUUCUAAGUUUCAAAGAAAAUUUAAAAUUACAAAAUCUCAACAGAUGACUUAAGGAGACAUUAUUAAUGGGAAUAUUAAAUAAUUAAAAUAAAACCUUUAAUGUAAUCGCA